rnacentral:rRNA from 1 species
AAUGAACGCUGGCGGCGUGUCUUAAGCAUGCAAGUCGUGCGGCAAGGGUAGCAAUACCCCUAGAGCGGCGGACUGGUGAGUAACGCGUGGGUGAUCUGCCUCUGGGAUGGGGAUAGCCACUAGAAAUAGUGGGUAAUACCGAAUACGUUCACCGGACUGUGGUCUGGUGAGGAAAGGCGCUUCGGCGCCACCCGGAGAUGAGCCCGCGUCCCAUUAGCUAGUUGGUGAGGUAACGGCCCACCAAGGCGAUGAUGGGUAGGCGGCCUGAGAGGGUGUACGCCCACACUGGGACUGAGAUACGGCCCAGACUCCUACGGGAGGCAGCAGCUAAGAAUAUUCCGCAAUGGACGAAAGUCUGACGGAGCGACGCCGCGUGGAUGAAGAAGGCCGAAAGGUUGUAAAAUCCUUUUGUUGGGGAAGAAUAAGCGUGGGAGGGAAUGCCCGCGUGAUGACAUGAACCGACGAAUAAGUCCCGGCUAACUACGUGCCAGCAGCCGCGGUAAAAGUA